rnacentral:lncRNA from 1 species
UAGAGGCUGGGAGAGAGAGUGGCAUGGAGCAACAGAGGCCGGUAGAGAGGGAUUGCGGGGGGAGAGAGAGGAGAGGGGGAUUGAGGGGGGAGAAGGAGGGCUGAGAGAGAGGGAUUCCAGAGGGAAAGAGAGGGCUCUUCAAAAUUAGUCUAGGCAUCACAAGUUUGUUUUAUGUUUUCUAUUUUUUUUCAACUUUUUAGUAUAUUGUUGAGAGUUGUAAUAAUGGAUGGUUGAGUGCACAACUCAUGCAGAGGUCGGAAUAAUAAAUUCCUUUGAUCUAAAAAUAAGCA